GUUCCUAAAAGCGUCCUAACAGUACCUCUGCACAGAGGUAAUUCCGAUAGUACCUACAAGCCACCAAAUUGGUGUAGAGCAUAGUCUUUAGGACUUGAUAGGAUAAGGAAAAUAAAAAUAACUCUACUUGCAAGGUAGAACCUUUGCAUGAGUAAAACCCUAGGGUGCGCAGAAUGGGAAAUUACCUUAUCAGUGGAGAGACGCGAAACUAAUCAGAUGGAUUGGAAGCUCUCGACUCCGGGAACGUAGGGGGACCACCUAUUUGAAAUAACAACGGUGGAAAUUUGAGAAAUUGGUACAGAGAAGGUGGAGCAAGGUUAGAGANAAGUNAGAGAAAAUAAGAAAUNUGAGUUCUAGAGAGAGAAGGGAAAUGAGGAAAUGAAAAUCUGAAUUGGGGAAAG
rnacentral:lncRNA from 1 species